CCUGUGACCGCGUGGGUUUUCCCCUUGGUGCUCCGGUUUCCUCCCAUAUUCCCAAGAUGUGGAGGUUUGCAGGUUAAUUGGCCUCUGUAAAUCGCAACUAGUGUGCAGGAUGCUAAAAAUGGGAAAAUGUAGAA